rnacentral:rRNA from 1 species
GAUGAACGCUGGCGGCGUGCCUAAUACAUGCAAGUCGAGCGAACAGACGAGGAGCUUGCUCCUCUGACGUUAGCGGCGGACGGGUGAGUAACACGUGGAUCACCUCCCUAUAAGACUGGGAUAACUUCGGGAAACCGGAGCUAAUACCGGAUAAUAUAUUGAACCGCAUGGUUCAAUGGUGAAUGACGGUUUUGCUGUCACUUAUAGAUGGUUCCGGGCCGCAUUAGCUGGUUGGUAAGGUAACGGCUUACCAAGGCAACGAUGCGUAGACGACCGGAGAGAGUGAUCGGCCACACGGGAGCUGAGACACGGUCCAGGCGCCUGCGGGAGGCAGCAGUAGGGAAUGGGACGCAAUGGUCGGGAACCUGGCGGAAUGACGCCGCGUGAGUGAUAGAGGUCUUCGGAUCGUGAAACUCUGUUAUGAGGGAAGAACAAAUGUGUAAGGAACUAUGCACGGCGUGACGGUACCUGGUCAAAAAGCCACGGCUAACUACGUG